UACGUAGGGACCAAGCGUUGUUCGGAUUUACUGGGCGUAAAGGGCGCGCAGGCGGCAAUUCAAGUCAUCUGUGAAAUCUCCGGGCUUAACCCGGAACGGUCAGGUGAUACUGUUUUGCUAGAGUGCGGAAGGGGCAAUCGGAAUUCUCGGUGUAGCGGUGAAAUGCGUAGAUAUCGAGAGGAACACCAGAGGUGAAGACGGGUUGCUGGGCCGACACUGACGCUGACAGCGCGAAAGCCAGGGGAGCAAACGGG
rnacentral:rRNA from 1 species